AUUGAACGCUGGCGGCAGGCCUAACACAUGCAAGUCGAACGAGUGGCGGACGGGUGAGUAAUGUCUGGGAAACUGCCUGAUGGAGGGGGAUAACUACUGGAAACGAUAGCUAAUACCGCAUACCAUCAGAUGUGCCCAGAUGGGAUGAGCUAGUGGGUGGGGUACCGGCUCACCAGGGCGACGAUCCCUAGCUGGUCUGAGAGGAUGACAAGCCACACUGGAACUGAGCAACGGUCCAGACUCCUACGGGAGGCAGCAGUGGGGAAUAUUGCCCAAGGGGCGCAAGCCUGAUGCAGCCAUGCCGCGUGUAUGAAGAAGGCCUUCGGGGUGUAAAGUACUUUCAGCGGGGAGUCGUUACCCGCAGAAGAAGCACCGGCUAACUCCGUGCCAGCCGCCGCGGUAAUUC
rnacentral:rRNA from 1 species